rnacentral:rRNA from 1 species
AUUGAACGCUGGCGGCAGGCCUAACACAUGCAAGUCGAGCGGCAGCGGGAAAGUAGCUGGCUACUUUUGCCGGCGAGCGGCGGACGGGUGAGUAAUGCCUGGGAAAUUGCCCAGUCGAGGGGGAUAACAGUUGGAAACGACUGCUAAUACCGCAUACGCCCUACGGGGGAAAGCAGGGGACCUUCGAGCCUUGCGCGUUUGGAUAUGCCCAGGUGGGAUUAGCUAGUUGGUGAGGUAAUGGCUCACCAAGGCGACGAUCCCUAGCUGGUCUGAGAGGAUGAUCAGCCACACUGGAACUGAGACACGGUCCAGACUCCUACGGGAGGCAGCAGUGGGGAAUAUUGCACAAUGGGGGAAACCCUGAUGCAGCCAUGCCGCGUGUGUGAAGAAGGCCUUCGGGUUGUAAAGCACUUUCAGCGAGGAGGAAAGGUUGAUGCCUAAUACGUAUCAACUGUGACGUUACUCGCAGAAGAAGCACCGGUUAACUCCGUGCCAGCAGCCGCAGUAAUAC